CUACGGAGGGGGCUAGCGUUGUUCGGAAUUACUGGGCGUAAAGCGUCCGCAGGCGGAUAAUUAAGUUAGAGGUGAAAUCCCAGGGCUCAACCCUGGAACUGCCUUUAAAACUGGUUAUCUAGAGUUAUGGAGAGGUAAGUGGAAUUCCUAGUGUAGAGGUGAAAUUCGUAGAUAUUAGGAGGCACACCAGAGGCGAAGGCGGCUUACUGGACAUAUACUGACGCUGAGGGACGAAAGUGUGGGGAGCGAACGGGAUUAGAAACCCCGGUAGUCC
rnacentral:rRNA from 1 species